CUUCCUGAGCGUGCCUAGGGAAUGACAGGCAUCCCUCCAGGCUGGCUGACCCCACCUUUGGCUGCAGCCUAGCCAUUGGCUGCUUAUUGGAAUAAAUUGAGGACAAUGCAUACCACUGGCUGCCAAUUUUAAACAUAAGGGAUAUGUAUUCACUUAGCACUGACUUUAGGGAGGAGCCAAGGAGCGAGUGUAGUUCUAUGGAUUAGGCUUGCAGGGCUUAGACAGGCUGGGAGCUUCUUUCGAUGCACUCCUGGCCACGCCACCAGCUGCAUCCCUCUCUGAGAACUGUUUCCACUGCAGAGAGAUUGUCUAGACAAGGUGUUUGAAACCAUCGCUCUAAAUUAAUUGCAGCCUUUGCCCUUCGGCACGUGACUCACAGGCUUUGAAGUGUCCAUCCGGCUGGGUUUGCGUAAGUAAGUAUGACUGAAAUGACCAUCUUUUGAAAUCUUUACUACUAUGCUGUUGCAAUAUCGCUGUU
rnacentral:lncRNA from 11 species